rnacentral:rRNA from 1 species
GAAUUUUGGACAAUGGGCGAAAGCCUGAUCCAGCAAUGCCGCGUGCAGGAUGAAGGCCUUCGGGUUGUAAACUGCUUUUGUACGGAAAGAAAAGCUUUGGGUUAAUACCCUGGAGUCAUGACGGUACCGUAAGAAUAAGCACCGGCUAAGUAAGUGGCAGCAGCAGCGGUAAUAAGUAUGGUGCAAGCGUUAAUCUGAAUUACUGGGCGUAAAGCUUUCACAGGCAGUUUUAUAAGACAGAGGUGAAAUCCCCGAGCUCAACCUGAUAACUGCCUUUGUGACUGCAAGGCUAGAGUACAGCAGAGGGGGGUGGAAUUCCGCGUGUAGCAGUGAAAUGCGUAGAUAUGCGGAGGAACACCGAUGGCGAAGGCAACCCCCUGGGCCUGUACUGACGCUCAUGCACGAAAGCGUGGGGAGCAAACA